UGACACAUCAUUGGCUUUGCUUGCCCAUGGCUGCUUUGGGGGUCAUGGUGGCAGAACUUGAGAGAUGCCAUCAGAAAUCUUGUGGUUUCUAAUGCCAAAAGCAUCUUCUCUCUAACUCUUUAAUAAUGAGAGUGCCUACCAACAACACUUUAUAGUAGAGCAGAAUGUUGUGUGGCAGGGAUCUGUCAGAACUGAGUUAGGAUGCUGUCUGUGCCACUUAUCUUCCCCCAUCUGAUAAAUGAGAAUAAUAACCCAGUGAUAAUAUGCUGCUUGGAGGACUAACUAAGGUGUUGUAAAUGUAACAUAAAAGCCACAGAUGUAGAACCAUUAUUGCUGCUCAGUAAAUAUCAGGCACCUCCAUCCCAUUUAUUAUAUAUAGUUUCCUUAUGGAGGCACCAAAAGAAUGAAACAGCAAGGGGCUAAUGGUACACUUGAUUGGAGAGCUACACACACAAGAUACAGCAGAAAAUAAUGAGAAUGAUGUUCUCAAUUUGGUCUUAAAGCAUCUGCUUUCACAGACUCCUCACUUACCUCUGUAUUACCUUCUGUGUACAGUAGGUCCUGACAAAUGGACACCCAUCAGUCAACACCUUUGAAUGAGAGCAUGCAUUUUCACCUCUAAGCUCCCUAAGAGGUGGUGCACCCAUCAAAUCCUGUUCUGUGGACAUGGAAAAAGCACUGUAGUAUAAACUUGGAUUUCUUGGCCUAUGUGACCGAAAAAUGCAGAUCACGAGGAACCAAGUAGCACAAAUUCCUCCCUAGAACCAGAAGUUUCAGGCCUGCAAGACCUUUGUGUAGCACAAAAGAGGAAAAUGCAUAAAACCUAAGUAAGCCUACAGGCAUUUACAGUGGGCACUAGCAUUUAAAACCCCAGAUGUCUUUCAAGUAUGUCCUGUUGAUCUGAUAAUGAUCAGAAUUUCUGGCAAGCUAGCUCUCAGAAUGGCGUAAGAGAAAAAUUGCAAUGUGAAAAUGUGCCCUAAGAACAGGACCCAGCAAGUCAGGAGCAGCUGAGUGGUACAGAUCUUUGGGGAAGGGGGCACAAGGAUGGUUGAAAGAAAGAUGGACAGAGAAGCCUAUGCAUAUAGAGACUAGCUACAGGUGCUGGUAUGGCUAGAUGGCAUGAUGGAAAGACUAUGGGCAAAAAGGAACCUUCAUGUAAGAUGUAAGAGACCACCAGAGACCAAAUGAAAAUGUGUCUUCUGGACCCCCUAUAGCUUAUCCCAUGCCCAUUUGAAUGAAGCUCAUAGUUUUUUGGUCUGAUUUCAAAAUUUAUUUCUAUCUUUCACAUUUUCUGGAUUCAUUUUAGAGUGUCUUUUUGGGUGGUAAGACAUGCCAUUCCUACUGCAGCUAAUAACCUAUCCAGCAAUUCCUUUGUACUAACUUUACAUUAAGUAGAGUGUGUUGUCUUAGCCACUGAUGGGUUAACGUUGUCCCCCUGUCUUAACAUAGGGUAAAUAUGAAAGUUCAUCUUCAUUAUCAACUUGACAGAAUAUGGAGUCACCUUAAAGAAAAAAAUGCCAGGCAGUGGAGGUGCGUGCCUUUAAUCCCAGUACUUGGAAGGCAAAGGCAAGCAGAUCUCUGAGUUUGAAUCCAGCCUGGUCUACAGAGUGAGUUCCAGGUCAGCCAGGGCUAUACAGAGAAACCCUGUCUCAAAAAAAAAAAUGCACACACACACACACACACACACACACACACACCUCUGAGUGUAAGGAUGCUUCCAGAAGGGUGGAUUAAGGUGGUAAUAUUAAUUGUGCCUAUAGGCAGCACAUGUCAAAGGCCUGGGGAUACAGACUG
rnacentral:lncRNA from 1 species